rnacentral:hammerhead_ribozyme from 1 species
AUCGAGCUGAUGAGUCCAAAAUAGGACGAAUCGCGCUUCCUGGAU